AUUGAACGCUAGCGGGAUGCCUUACACAUGCAAGUCGAACGGAGUGGCGAACGGGUGAGUAAUGUAUCGUAACGUGCCCAGUAGCGGGGGAUAACUACGCGAAAGCGUAGCUAAUACCGCAUACUAUUGGAGCGGCCGAUAUCGGAUUAGCUAGUUGGUGGGGUAACGGCUCACCAAGGCGACGAUCCGUAGCUGGUUUGAGAGGACGACCAGCCACAUUGGGACUGAACCCAGGCCCAGACUCCACCGGGAGGCAGCAGUGGGGAAUUUUGUACAAUGGGGGAAACCAGUAUCCAGCCAGCCCGCGUGUGCGAUGAAGGCCUUCAGGUUGUAAAGCACUUUUGGCAGGAAAGCGGUACCUGCAGAAUAAGCACCGGCUAACUACGUGCCAGCAGCCGCGGUAAUAC
rnacentral:rRNA from 1 species